CGGAGGAUGAGAGGGCCAUCGGCGGCCCUGCCCGUCUCGAAAACGGGAUGCCGCGUCCGCGGCCGGGUUCGAUUCCUACGUCCUCCGC
rnacentral:tRNA from 2 species